GCAAGCAUAUAGAACUGUGCGAGAUCGCCAUUUUGUUUGUUUACCAAGUAUUAUUUACCUUUACCUUCACCACAUAUGUGAUAUUAAAAAGCUCUAAUUGUCAUCAUCGAUCGUUAAUAUUUAUAAUAUCUCGCACAAGGUGAAGAUAAUCCAACAUGUAAUUAUUUGACGUAUUCGAAGACGAUAGUCUUGCAGUGCUUGACAUCAAAUGAUAUGUCAAAUAUUAUAAUUGUAUUAUAAGACAGUGCAUAUAAUAAUUGCGCAUAUAUAUUUUUGCACUUUUAUAUAAUUUUUGUUUGCAAGAAAAGAGGAGAAAAUGUGGAUUUACUUUGUACUCGCCUUGUUUGGCGUGUUCGAUUUUGCGAUGGCUUCCGGUAAUUUCGAUUUUGGAGACACCCUGGCAUUAAUCCUGGGAUUAACAUUUGGGAUAAUUGCAUUUUUUGCUUGCAUGGGAGCUUAUGCGAGGAGACGAAGUCACUUUGAAACCUUGUAAUCUUUUUUUAAAUACACAUUUAAUACGAUAAACAUUGCUAUCAAAUUGUAUAAUUACGGACUGAAGGAAAUAUGAUUUAUAAGAGAUAUAUGAUAAAGAAACAAAGGUAUUUUAAGAUUUUCCAUGUAAAAGAAAUAGUUUGUAGAGAGAUUCUUAGAAAAGAUUUGUUAAAAUAUGUUAUAACAAUUUUAUAGAAUUUGUGAAUAAUAUAUAUUGUGUAUACUUCUGUUAUAAUAAAGAAAGCAAAUGAUAAA